CAAACUUCACGGAUUAGCAUUGAGCCUUGGGAGUACGGUUGCAAGAUUAAAAGUCAAAGGAACUGACGGGGGCCGGCACAAGCGGUAGAGCAUGAGGUUUAAUUCGAAGCAAUGGGCAGAACCUUACCAAGCCUUGACAUCAUAUGACCACCCAGUAGAUCAGGCUUUCUAAUAACAGACAUAUUGACAGGGGCUGCAUGGCUGUCGUCAGCUCGAGUCGCUAGAUGUUCGGUUAAGUCCGGCAACGAGCGCAACACACAUAUUUAGUUGCCAGCUGUUCGGCUGGGCACUUUAGAGAAACUGCCCGUGAUAAGCGGGAGGAAGGUGUGGAUGAAGUAAAGUCAUCAUGGCCGUUACGGGUUGGGAUAGACAAGUGCUACAACACAUCAACAAUGGGUUAAUACCUAAAAGAUGUCUCAGUUCGGAUUGGGGUCUGCAACUCGACCCCAUGAAGUCGGAAUCGCUAGUAAUAGCGUAACAACAUGACGCGGCGAAUACGUUCUCGCGUCUUGCACACCCCGCCCG
rnacentral:rRNA from 1 species